rnacentral:rRNA from 1 species
UUGACGGGGCCCGCACAAGCGGAGGAACAUGUGGUUUAAUUCGAUGAUACGCGAGGAACCUUUACCCGGGCUUGAAAUGCAUCUGACCGGCCUUGAAAGAGGUUUUCCCUUCGGGGCAGAUGUGUAGGUGCUGCAUGGUUGUCGUCAGCUCGUGCCGUGAGGUGUCGGCUUAAGUGCCAUAACGAGCGCAACCCUCAUCAUUAGUUACCAUCAGGUAAGGCUGGGGACUCUAAUGAGACUGCCAUCGUAAGAUGUGAGGAAGGUGGGGAUGACGUCAAAUCAGCACGGCCCUUACGUCCGGGGCGACACACGUGUUACAAUGGGUGGUACAAAGGGCAGCUACCUGGCGACAGGAUGCUAAUCUCCAAAACCACUCUCAGUUCGGAUCAGAGUCUGCAACUCGACUCCGUGAAGCUGGAUUCGCUAGUAAUCGCGCAUCAGCCACGGCGCGGUGAAUACGUUCCCGGGCCUU